rnacentral:misc_RNA from 1 species
GAGUUUGAAAGGGGUUGUUGCUGGCCUUCCGGGGCAUGUGCACACCUCGCUCAUCCAUCUACACCUGUGCACCUAUUGUAGUUCAGGGGCUUGAGGCUCGCGCCGCUCGUCCCUUGUCCUACGUUUUAUACACACUCUUCAGUUCAGAAUGUCUACCGCGAUAAAACGCAUUAAAUACAACUUUCAACAACGGAUCUCUUGGCUCU